rnacentral:rRNA from 1 species
AAUCAACGCUGGCGGCGUGCCUAACACAUGCAAGUCGAACGCGAAAGCCCCGCAAGGGGUUAGUAGAGUGGCAAACGGGUGAGUAACACGUGGGUGACCUACCUUCGAGUGGGGGAUAACGUCCCGAAAGGGACGCUAAUACCGCAUAACAUCCUGCCUUUUAAGAGGUGGACAUCAAAGCUGGGGAUCGCAAGACCUAGCGCUUGAAGAGGGGCCCGCGCCUGAUUAGCUAGUUGGUGGGGAAUGGCUCACCAAGGCAACGAUCAGUAUCCGGCCUGAGAGGGCGGACGGACACACUGGGACUGAGACACGGCCCAGACUCCUACGGGAGGCAGCAGUCGGAAUUUUGGGCAAUGGGCGAAAGCCUGACCCAGCAACGCCGCGUGAAGGAUGAAAUUUUUCGGAAUGUAAACUUCGCAAAGAACAGGAAGAAUAAGUAGGGGACAAUACCCCCUAUGAUGACGGUACUGUUUGUAAGCUCCGGCUAACUCCGUGCCAGCA